GACGAACGCUGGCGGCGUGCCUAAUACAUGCAAGUCGAACGAACCGCGACUAGGUGCUUGCACUUGGUCAAGGUGAGUGGCGAACGGGUGAGUAACACGUGGGUAACCUACCUCAUAGUGGGGGAUAACAGUCGGAAACGACUGCUAAUACCGCAUAGGACAUGGGAUCACAUGAUUCUGUGAGGAAAGGUGGCGCAAGCUAUCGCUAAGAGAUGGACCCGCGGUGCAUUAGCUAGUUGGUAGGGUAACGGCCUACCAAGGCAAUGAUGCAUAGCCGACCUGAGAGGGCGAUCGGCCACAUUGGGACUGAGACACGGCCCAAACUCCUACGGGAGGCAGCAGUAGGGAAUCUUCCGCAAUGGACGCAAGUCUGACGGGAGCAACGCCCGCGUGAGUGAAAGAAGGUCUUUCGGGAUCGUAAAAGCUUCUGUUGGUAGAGAAA
rnacentral:rRNA from 1 species